UUCUAUUUAUUUUCUUCAUAAAGACAAAGUGAGUUAAAUGGGCAUUACAAUUUCCUCUCAUUAGUAUAUUAAAAUAGUAUCUGUUUAAAAAAAAAAAAAAAAAAGGGAAUUAUAAAUAGGAAGUCAAAAUUACAAGAACAUUUAGAUAAAAAAAGUUCACCAUGGACCACUGCGCAACAAAACAUCCAAGGGACUUCUUCACUGCAGACAUGUUGACUUCUUCUGGCGCCUGAACUUCUCAUUAUGGAAUAAAGUUGUAUGAUAUGGACCCCAGCACCUCCACCCCCUGGUCCUGGCAGCUACUCACCAGCCUCCACCACAUGGUCCAUGGUGGGGAACCGUUUGAACACGGCGGUGCUGACGGAGCGGAGGAUGAGCAGGGCCGACAGACUGGCAUAGCGCAUCAUGGUGCGUCUCAGCAGGCGGCCCCGCUCGUCGCUGCCCUGGAGCCCCCCCGACAGGACGCACAUGAGCCGGUCAGGGAGCGGGAUGCUGGUAUACUGGCUCCACCAGCGGUUCACCACCAGGGUCACAUAGAAACCUGCACACAGCGAUGGAGAAGAGACACAGGGGGUUAUUCUGGAUUAUUCUAGAAAUACUUUGUUAAGAGGACAGUUCUCCAGUGGCCUCAGGGGCCCCAAGCAAUAUAUAAGAAAUGUGUGCUUGACUGUUACAUCAUUUCUGCUAUGGAGCCCAACCGAUACAUGAUACUGUCAGUACUGUCUGAUAAUAGUCUUUCUCAUUAUAUACUUUAUACUACAGUAGGGCUGCAAAUGAAGAUACUUUCCACAAUUUAGUAAUCAGCCAAUUAUUUUCUAGACUAAUUCAGUACUGAUUCAUUGUUGGUCUACAAAAUGUCAAUACUAGUCAACAUGUAAAUCCCUCUCAAAGUCCAAGGUGAGGUCUAUCAAUGUCUUAUUUUGAUUUUCACUUUGAUAUGAUAUAAUAUUCCCAUUCAGAUUAUUGCCCAUUAUGUGGAAAUGUGUCUUUCCUACCAGCAAAUACAAAGACACUCAGUUUACACACAACAUACAGUUCACACACAAUACACAAUAACAUUUGUGUAUCUACAGUAGUCUAAAAGUGACUCAUUUGCAGUCAUAGUUAAAGUGCUGAGUGCAUUGUUAUUCCACUGGCUUGUAGUCAAAUACAUUUUUUUUUCAUGAAAAGUCACUUAAUACUAUUUGAAUAGCUUAAUACUAACGAUUAAUCUAUGAGAAAAAUAGUUCUGAAUGGUUUUUCUGUCAUUUUUUCUGACAAAUUAAUCAGUCGACCACUCAAUAAAGCUCUACUGUAUGUAAGCCUUAGGAAGUAUUUUAGUAUAUAUUAAAAAAGAAAAGCUUUAUGUACAGAGCAGAAAAUCCACUUUCAAUUCUGUAAAAGUGGUGGUAGAAAUGUUGCAAAGGAUAUUUUAAUAGAUUUUCUUUGCUCUCUAUAGUUAAAGUUUUUCAACUAUUCACAAUCCUUUAAGCUCAAAAUGAGUCAGAUAAUCAAUAUUCUAAUUAUUUGGCUGUAUUUAUACCUCCAUUGCAACAACUCAACAUAUAUUCUGAGGUCUACAGCUGAAAGUCCUUAACAUAGAAACCAAUAAAAAGUUGUUGCGUACA